CAUCUGGGGAUCUUGUUAAAAUGCAGAUUCUGAUUCUGCAGUGCAGGUGGGAGUUGCUGCAUUUCUAACAGCUCUCAGAUGAGG
rnacentral:pre_miRNA from 1 species